UAGCCUAGUGGUUAAGGCUAUGGAUCGCCAAUCUUUAGAUGGCGGGUUCGAUUCCCGU
rnacentral:tRNA from 1 species